CCGUGGCCCCCUCACUUGCCCACACCUUCUGCCUCCUGCUAACCCCUGAGCUUGCCUCUGGAAACAAGUCAAGUGGCCCCAGUGCCGGGGUGACAGAGGCCUGUCUUAGCUGAACAGCUACGCUCUUUGUGCCUUUCCUAUGUGGUCAUUUCCACGUCACCUUUAAAGCAUCUUAGAAAAAUGUCGAUGGUAUCUGAGAUGGUAUCUUCUCCCCCCUCCCACUGGAAACAUUUUUAUCAUUUGGCAGUCAGGUUCCAAUAAUCAUUAAGGGCAUCCACGAGGCAACACUCCCUGGGGGCAGGAGGAGCUGAGUGAGACAGCGUGUGCGAUGUUAGGGGGCUACGGGGAAAGAUAGGGAGAAAUCUGUUUUUGUAAUAGGGAGGAGUUUGGGUCUGACUCUAUGACAUGAACCACAGGUUCCCACCAGCUGCCUCCGAAUACUCCAAGAGGUACUUCGGGGUAUGUGAACACUUAGUCCCCUUACCCGAGGAAGUCACUUUGCCUCUUUUUAUGUGGGGCAGAAAGGUUGUGUUGUAACUGGGGAUAUUACUCUAAUGCUGUCAGGCAGUACUCACAGACUCUGAUUCCCGGUGGCUGUUUAGCCCAGUGUGGCAAGGAUGGUUACUGCACUCACGCCGUGAUGGGUACCAAGAACAUCAGGUGUGUGAGAGAUGCCAUUCCGUGGGUCUUUCACAGAGAGUUCCACCCACCCUGAGUUACCCAAGAGAGCUGCUCCCUACAGCGCAGCCUCAGCUUUCGCUGCCACGCUAUUUCCUGAUAGUAUCUGGUGCCUCUCCAGAUAGCUUCCACUUCUCUCUGCCUCUGCUUUGAUCUCUAACCUCGGUAAGCUGGAUCUGACAUCGGCUCCAUAAAAAUCUGGUCCUGGACCUCUGACCAGGAACUUUGUGUCGCUAAAGAAGUGUGCAUGCAGGCUCCUUGCUUCCUUCUGUGCCUGUGACCUGUUGGGCAGGGCACUAAUUCUUUAAGUCAGCAUUUCAAAGAGAAGAUUAAGAACAAGUUAAGCCUUUAGUUCAAAAAGUUCAGUUAAUCCUAGAGCAAAGCACACUGGGUUUUGAGGCCAUGUGAAAUAGCCAAGACUUAAAGUCAACAGUGGUCAUGGAAAAGUCACACACAGUCCUUUCACUAAGAGGGAGAAAUUUAUAUGGUCAGCGGGAGGUGCUGUUCCGGGAGGAAGAGAACUUGAGAGGGAACGGCUCAGAAGGUGAAGCACAGAGCAUUUUCUGCGACUCUCCUCCGUGCCUGUAAGACUCUUCUGCGAAAACUCACUGGGUUCUCCCUUCACCUAAAAGCUCCUGAAACCUCCAUUCUUCAAAGUGUUCUUCAUCAAGAAGGGAUGUUCACAGAAACUAUAAUCCUUAGAAGAAGGAGGACUUCAGACACUGAAGGGGAGAAGAGCGUUUUCCUGGCAAGGGCAGAGUGUUUCAGGAGGAGGUGACGACAGGCAUGGAGAUUGGAAAGAGAGGUGCUGGGCCAAAGGAAAAGAAGCUUCUGGUCCAACAGAGACAAGAAUUUGGAUUGAUGGAGCCUAACAGCAUGAGGAUGCUUCCUUGGGAACCUUGACAACAUAUUGUGAGGAAGCCCGUGCCACACGGAGAAGCUGACAUGGAGAGGAACUCAGCCCUCCCGCCAGCAGGCAGUUCCAAUUUGCCAGGCAUGUCUGACUUUUCUCCUGCACUGCCUCCUUCCUGCCUGGGGCAACCGGGGACUCAGCCUCUGCCCUGUGAGAAAAGAGACAGGAGAUUCACCUAGUGAAUUCCUUGUGGCCCAAGUGCAAGAGGCUGGAAGGACCUCCUCUAGAGAAGCACUGCACAGGAGACGCGUCGGCAGAGCGAUCAGGGAUAACAAUGAUUUCUGCUUUGUUGAUGAUUUCAUAACGCUUGUCAAGCCGCUAGAACAGAAUCCGACACAGAGGCGCUAAUUAGGACGCGCGCAGGAUCGUGGCUGAGCCGGGGCCUGCGCUGGAGCAUCUGCGGACUCCGCGCUUGGGACGGCGAGAUGGGCAUCCCGGGAACCACCACCGCGCAGGUGGUGGACGCCGAGGGCCUGGGAACACGGCGGCCCUCCCGCUGACAGGUGACUGACCCGGGCGGGCCCGGAGCCGCUCCCGUGACGCCGAGGGCCAAGCUCGAGGCUCGCGGAGGCGGCCGCGGGGCGGCGCUGCGCCCCUUCCGGCCGCUGGGCCUUCUGGCCGCGGGCUCCUCUGCCGCGGGGCUUUUCCUGGGCUCCCAGUCUUCGGCCCGGCGCCGCAGCACAGGAUGCAGUGUCCCGGCGCCGAGUAUCUGGUUUCUGCAGAGAGAACCCCCCGGAAAAGAGAGUGGAGACCUCAGAUUUAUAGGAAGUGCACAGAUACGACAUGGCUAUUCCUCUUCUUUCUCUUUUGGACUGGUUUGCUGUUCAUCAUGGGCUACUCGAUGGUGGCAGGAGCCACGGGAAGACUCCUCUUUGGCUAUGACAGCUUUGGCAAUGUGUGUGGCAAGAAGAACUCCCCUGUAGAAGGGGCCCCUCUUUCAGGGCAGGACAUGACCCUGAAAAGACACGUAUUCUUUAUGAAUUCCUGCAACCCGGAAGUCAAGGACGUGAGGCUCAGUUCCACCAUCCUGUGCGUGUCGAGCUGUCCUGAAGAGCAGCUUGAUACCCUGGAAGAGGUCCAGCUCUUUGCAGACAAGAAUGGGUCCUUCCUGUGUGUUUACAAUUUGAAUUCCAUCAACUACACCCAGAAUCCAAAUGCAGACUCAUUGUGUCCCAGGCUGCCGGUUCCUCCGAGCAAGUCUUUCCCCUUGUUUAACAGAUGCGUCCCUCAAACACCCGAGUGCUAUUCCUUGUUUGCAUCUGUUUUGAUAAAUGAUGUUGACACCCUCCAUCAAAUUCUAAGUGGAAUAAUGUCAGGAAGAGACACAAUCCUUGGUCUGUGUAUCCUCGCAUUAGCCUUGUCUUUGGCCAUGAUGUUCACCUUCUGGUUCAUCACCACCCUUCUGGUUCACAUUUUCAUUGCACUGACUAUUUCGGGACUGCUGUUUGUCUGUGGUGUCUUAUGGUGGCUGUAUUACGACUAUACCCAUGACCUCAGCAUAGAAUUGGACACAGAAAGGGAAAAUAUGAAGUGUUUGCUGGGGUUUGCUCUUGUAUCUACAGUAAUCACGGCAGUUCUGCUCAGCUUGAUUUUUGUCUUCAGAAAGAGAAUAAAAUUGACAGUCGAACUUUUCCAAGUCAUAAAUAAAGCCAUCAGCAACUCUCCAUUCCUGCUGUUACAACCACUAUGGACUUUUGCCAUCCUCAUUUUCUUCUGGGUCCUCUGGGUGGCCGUGCUGCUGAGCCUGGGAACUGCAGGAGCUGCACAGGUUAUUGAAGGUGGCCAAGUGGAAUAUAAGCCUAUUUUAGGCAUUCGGUAUAUGUGGUGGUACCAUUUGAUUGGCCUCAUCUGGACUAGCGAAUUCAUCCUUGCGUGCCAGCAAAUGACUGUAGCCGGCGCACUUGUUACUUGCUAUUUCAACAGAAAUAAAAAUGACCCUCCUGAUCGCCCAAUCCUUUGGUCUCUCUCCACUCUUUUCUGCUACCAUCAAGGAACAGCCAUAAAAGGGUCAUUUUUAAUCACUGUGGCAAGGAUUCCAAGAACCAUUCUCAAGUACAUUUACAACACUCUGAAAGACAAGCAUAAUGCAUGGUCGACGUACAUGUUCAGAUGCUGCUUCUGCUGUUUCUGGUGUCUUGACAAAUGCCUAUGCCAUCUCAACCAGGAUGGAAUUUCAGCCUCACUGAGGUCCAGCUCAGGACUCCUCCAGACCCAUUUCCCACCACAAUCUCUUCUGGGCACUUUGGUCUCAUUCACUGCUUCCUGCUGCUGCCUCAGCCCCUGCCUAUCCCAGUUUUCUGCAGGGAACAGUCAACUUCACCAGCUAUGCGCCACUUCUAAUGCAUAUGCUGCAACUGCCAUUAAUGGGACAGAUUUUUGUACAUCAGCAAAAGAUGCGCUCAAACUCUUAUCCAAGAAUUCAAGUCAUUUCACAUCUGUUAACUGCUUUGGAGACUUCAUAAUUUUUUUAGGAAAGGUGUUGGUGAUGUGUCUCACUGUUUUUGGAGGACUGAUGGCAUUUAACUACAACCGUGCCCUCCAGGUGUGGGCAGUCCCUCUGCUGCUGGUUGCUUUUUUUGCCUACUUUGUAGCCCAUAGUUUCUUAUCUGUGUUUGAAACUGUGCUGGAUGCACUCUUCCUGUGUUUUGCUGUUGAUCUGGAAACAAAUGAUGGAUCGUCGGAAAAGCCCUACUUUAUGGACCAAGAGUUUUUGAGUUUUGUAAAAAGGAUCAACAAGUUAAAAGACACGAGGGCACAGGGGGAGGAGAACUCACUAAGGAACGAGGAGGGAACAGAACUCCAGCCCGUUGUGUGAUAGGUGCCCAUUAGAGUGUUGCCCCUGGAAAGUGUCCUUCUUCUAAGAGCCAUUCACAGAAUAAAUGGUUUCUCAUAUGCAAAAUAGAGAAAAUACCACCUACUUUGGAUUUAGGAGAGGAUUCAACAUAAGCAAUGUAAAAAGCACAGCGUAAUGUGGGCCCCUGGAGAGUUACAUGUGAGUACCUAUUAUGACCACAUACACUCUCCAGGCCAUCCAUUUCAGAAGCUCAUCACACAUUCAGCAGAACUUAUGCUGAGCAGUCCUUAAGGCCUGAAGUCUCAAAGAGCCAGCCACAAGUACAGUAACUCAUUUCUCCAUUUAUGCCAAGCAGACAGUCCAGGUAUAACUGGUAAAAAAGAAAACUUGAAUGGCACCUAUACGAGACAAUGCCACAUGUGGCAGGACAUCUCAACUUUAGGUCACAAGGAGAAAGCUUUUUCAAACCUUAUCCCCCACUGCUGUUGGAUGUGAGCCCUGCCUGCUCUCCAUUGGUUAUGGAAACCUCCCUAUGAGGGGCUGAUCUAUUUUUAACAAGGAAAUACUUCCAUCUUGCAUGGUGUUAGAAUGCUGGCAUUCUCACCAUGCUAUAGCCCCACCUAACUCCUCCUUAGAACACCAGAUCAUUUUACCUACCAAGUUUCCGAGGCAUUAGAAGGAGCAAUUUACUUGGAUCUGGAGCAAGAAAUAAACUUGCUAUAAUAAACGUAUCUCUUUUCUUCUGGUUAGACGGAAAGACCAGCUGUUCUGACUGCCAACACACCAUACUUGUGUUCCUACAGAAAGGUCCUCUGAUUCUUUUGCUUUCUCAGCAAAACCAACUUACCUGAAGGAAUGUACUUUAAAUAUACCAUACAAAGAAUACAUCCUUUGAGCUUAGUAAGUUAAUUGUGGGAUGCCUGGGUGGCUCAGUUGGUUAAGCAUCCAACUUCAGCUUGGGUCAUGAUCUCACUGU